CUGUGUCUGAGGUCUCCUUUGGUGGAGUUAACGCAUUUUUGGUGCAGGUUUUAUGGUCCCCGUGUAAUAGAGGUACUACUGGAUUCACCAGGAUCCCCAGAUGAGCCAUUUUACAUGGAUAGCUCUGGACUGCACCCGUUUCCAGCCCUGGACAGGCCAGGAUGGUUUGGGCUGCACAGACAGGAUAUUCCCGGGACACCAGGGCAUGGUCUUGGCACCCAAACGCACAGACCGGAUGGCUGAUGGACUCAGAACUUCCAGGGAUUCUCCAAAGAGGGGAAGCAGAGGUGCUGGAUGCUGCCCUAAUCCCAGUGAGUACCAGGAGGCAUGAGGAGAGGCACCAACAGCUGGAGGCACCUGAAUUGGCUCCACCUGUCUGCUGCUGCCUGGCUUUGUCCACAGUUUCUUCUGCUUCUCAGUUUCAGGAAACGGACUGUUUUAUUGUCCCCGUCGCUCUCCGAGCCCUUCCCGUCUGUGUGCCUGACCCCACAGUCUCUCGGUCGCUGGGUUUUUGCCAGGACCCACAAGUGACCGUGGACAGACGCGGCGCUGGCUGCUGGCCGUGAUGUUUUGUGGCUCCAGGAGCUGCCGGGCACAACGGCCGCUCGCUCGCAGGGCUGCUGGCAUCGGGGGAACCGGCUGAGGCCACAGCUGCUCCCACCGCUGUUGAUGAUGUGGUGGACUUCAGUGCAGACGUGGGUGGUGUUCGUGCUGAAGGACAACAAACUCAAGGACGUCCUGGCCCUGGACAUGAGGACUUUGCUGUGUGGAAGCGGAGAGCUGUCCCUGAAGGACAACGGACGCCCCAGGACAUCCAAGGUAAAGCCAGCCCCUCUGACGAGGCUUUGAAACCCUCCGGCAUCGGCUGGUGUCACGGACAAGCGGCUCUGGCCAGACGGACUGCAGGGGCAUCGGGAUCCAGCCAAGCAGCGAGGAUGCUGCAGAAAUAGAGCUGCUGUGCCGGGAUUUUCUGUGAUCAGCAAUGGGCAGGGUGGGUGCCAGUGAGGAGUGAAACGUGUUGGACCCGCACGUGUGAAGGGCGCGAGAACCCCGGGUUUGGGGAGCCCCAGUUUGGCUGGGACGCCUCAUGUGCAGGAGUCGGUAUUUCCUCCGGUGAGUCUGUGCUUUGUGUUCCAGCCUUUCUCCUCGGACGGCACGAGCCGGGUGCGGAUGUACGGACCGGUGCUGGGCCCUGCUCCGCUCCUCCGCUCCGGGGCCUCACGCAGGCAGCUGCGGUGAGUGCUCCGUUUCCCUCUCCCCGGUGCGGGAUCCCCCGCGGUGCCUGGCCGGGGCCCGGUGACUUUCCCAGCGGGUUUUUGCACCAACCCUCUGGGGUCCCCUCUCGGGGGGCAGCGGCUGGGGGUCCCCUGCAGCUCCCGAUUUCCACCAUGGGAUCAAUCCUCACUCGAUGACGCCGGCAGCUCCUGGGCCUGGCUCACAUCUUGUCCCCAGGGGAGAAGGGGACUCAGUGGGGCUGGGGGUCUCCUGGGGUGGCCGGUGACCCCUCCUGCUGCCGGGCUCCCUCCUCCCGGUGCAGGCACCGGCUGGUUUCUUCUCUGCAGCUCUUUUCCAGAGCGGCUGCCGGGAGGACAAACCGCUCCAGCCCAGCACGGGCUCUGCCGGAGCUGGGGAGAGCCCAGCGUCAUCCUCGCAGGCAGAUGGCCCGGGGAGGGCAGCGUUAGGGCACUGCCACAGCAGGGCCUUGGUGUGGCUCUGAGCUCUGUUUGAAACUGUGCGUUUACCUGAAAUCUUUUUUUUAGCUCAAAAUGUGCUGCGGUGGGAGCAGAGGCCACUCCAGGGACCCACCCCGGCUCCUGCAGCCCCGGCGGUGGACAGUGAAGCCGGGCAGAGGGAGCGAUGCCAUCCCCGAGCUGCUGGUCCCUCGGGAGGUGUUGGUGGCCCCGGUGAUGCCCGUGGCUGUGCCCACGUGCGG